CGCCUCUUGUCAUCAAUAAGAGGUCUAGCCUGCCCAGUGAUAAAUUUAACGGCCGCGGUACCCUAACCGUGCGAAGGUAGCAUAAUCACUUGUUCUUUAAAUAGGGACUAGUAUCAACGGCAUCACGAGAGUUGCACUGUCUCCCCCCUCCAAUCAGUGAAACUGAUCUCCCCGUGAAAAAGCGGGGAUAACACUAUAAGACGAGAAGACCCCAUGGAGCUUUAAACCCAAUAGCAAUUUAGCAAAAUAUUUUCCCUUGAGCUACAUAACCCUGCUAACGGUUUUAGGUUGGGGUGACCGCGGAGUAAAAAUUAACCUCCGCACCAAAAAGAUUAAAAUCUUAACCCAAGAAUUACUAUUCUAAGUAUUAGAAAACUAAUGUACCAUGACCCGAUAUCGAUCAAUGAACCAAGUUACCCUGGGGAUAACAGCGCAAUCUACUUCAAGAGUCCAUAUCGACAAGUAGGCUUACGACCUCGAUGUUGGAUCAGGGUAUCCUAGUGGUGCAGCCGCUACUGAAGGUUCGUUUGUUCAACGAUUAAAACCCU
rnacentral:rRNA from 1 species